rnacentral:tRNA from 1 species
AUUAUUUUGGCAGAAAAGUGCUGUGAAUUUAGAAUUCAUGAAUGUAGGUUGAGUCCUUCAAAUAGUA